AUCACUAAUUACUUUUCGCUACAAAUAGCAUUUUUUAUAUUUUUUUAUUAUUCACAAUGCUUAAUACAUUUUGAUCCAUAAAAACCCUUAUUUAAUUCUUUACAAAAUUUAAUUGGGUCAUUUCUUUUUACUAAAAAAAUAUUCAUUAUUUAAAUUGAUAGAAUAUAUCGAAUAAUACAAAUUUAAAAUUGCUAUAAACUCAAUAUGAUGAAUUUGUGAACAAACUCACAUGAGAAAAAAGUUGUCUUUGUAUUGGAUUCGCUCUUCUGUUAGCAUAAACAUGAAUUAGAUUCUAUUCAUCUUAUUUAUUCUUAAGAGAACCCCCCACCUGAACCAUUCUUAAGAUCACCAAGCUCUCUCGAAUGAGUUCUAUUUUUU
rnacentral:lncRNA from 1 species